CAAACCAACACCAAAAAAACAAUAAAUUUAUUAAAGUCCAUCAUCAAUCCAUUUCUUACAAGCCCAAUAAUAAAACUUAGCCUAGAAAUAUACCAAGCCCUAAAAAUUAAAACCCAAAACCCCAUUACACCCAAAACCCCCAAACAGACCAAACUACAGUGGCCCAGUAACGAAAACAAGCCCAAUGGCCCAAAAUUUUCAGAAAUAGAAACCCUAGGUUUCAUUUUCUGCUAGGCGUCGCAGUAGCCACCAAGUAGCCUCCGUACGCCCCAUGUGCUGCCCUCAUACUGCCUCCGUACACCUCCACCUCUCCAAUACAUGCAGGAAGGACAAACACCACAGCAGCAAAUAGAAAAAAAGAACAAACAAACAAAUUGUAAAAAAGGGAAAUAUAUGUUCGGCUAUAAAGCCAAGGGGAUUGGUUUUUGUAUUUUUUUUUUACACACACACAAUCAAUACUAAGAAAUACAUUGAGAUACCCGAAUACAAAGCAAAAACUAACUUCAAAGUAAAAAGGGGGAUCAAAUCUUACCUUUCCUCUUGUAUUCGCGGCGUUGUGGGCGGUCGAGGUCCACCGAUUCUAAUGAAAAUCAGUGACUAACGAACUCGGGAAAUCGAAAGCUUGAAGAAAAUGGCUUUUUUGGUUUCCCGACCACUGUGUACGGCGGCUACCACGGCGGAGGCGCGGCAGUCCGGUGACCAGAGCAAGGCCGGACCGACGAUCGAAAAUCAGGUAGAGGAGAGCAUUUGGGGGAGUUUGAGGCCUUUUUGGGGGGAAAGGGGUAAAAUGAAGUUUUUUAUUAUUAUGAAACUUUAGCUUUUAUAAUGUCCCUAUACGGCGUCGUUUUGGGUUAGGCAUCAGAUGCCCAAAACGGCACCGUUUCACCUUGAUCUGACCCAUAACCCGAGGUCCAACCCGAAACCCGCCAAGGGAUCCGCAUGUUUUCAAAUUGAUGGGCUUAUUGCGCUUCAAGUC